rnacentral:lncRNA from 10 species
ACCUCCCCAGAAGCCGGGCUUCCCGCCCCACCGGCCCGCGAGGUGCCGCAGGGAGGGUGCGGUUUGGCUUGUCAGCACCCAGGGGCGUCACAAACCCUUUGUUGAACAGGGGAUUUACCCCUUUGUGUGGCGUCACUUGAUCAAUAGUUCAGUUUCAGUGUGGCUAAUAGUGUUAAAAACUGGCCGGGCGCGGUGGCUCACGCCUGUAAUCCCAACACUUUGGGAGGCCGAGGCGGGCGGAUCACCUCAGGACUCCAAGGCUCUAAGGAUGGAAGAGUCAUAAUUGGAAAGAGCCUGGGUACCUGAAUCACUGUAUGGAGGAAAAUCACUUGCUGAGCAGGAACAUCCUCAUUGGACUAGCUAUGUGGGUGAGAAAGAACCUUGGAAUUUGAAUGUUUAUUUGCUACAGCAUAACCUUAACAAAGUGCUGGUAUUGAGUGCUAGUAUUUUUGGCUGCACAUUUGAAAGGAUUAAUUUGCAUGUGUAGUAAUUACACUAUUAUACUGAUGACACCUCAGCAUAGUGUCAUUGUUUGAGCAGAACUACUUACUGCCCUGGUCACUCUUUUAGAUACUUAUGAAGCAAAGUUCACACAGGUCUUAGCAAAUGCAUAGUGUCAUUGUUUCUUGAUGUGUAUCAAGCUGUGCCCUGUACCACAUGGAAACCUGUGAAAACCCAGCUCAACAUUCUGUCUGCCCAGACACCAUGUCAACAGCAUGAAUCAUAGUUGUAUAAACUUUACCUACCAAUUGCAAUACCUUGGGAAGGAGUCUUAGCACUUCUUCCUGCCUCCUCAGUUGAGAAUCACUGAUUUACAGUGAUCUGGUCAAGACUUUUUGC